rnacentral:rRNA from 1 species
AUUGAACGCUGGCGGCAGGCCUAACACAUGCAAGUCGAGCGAGCGGCGGACGGGUGAGUAAUGGCUGGGAAACUGCCUGAUGGAGGGGGAUAACUACUGGAAACGGUAGCUAAUACCGCACACCAUCAGAUGUGCCCAGAUGGGAUUAGCUAGUAGGUGGGGUAACGGCUCACCUAGGCGACGAUCCAUAGCUGAUCUGAGAGGAUGAUCGGCCACACUGGAACUGAGACACGGUCCAGACUCCUACGGGAGGCAGCAGUGGGGAAUAUUGGGCAAUGGGCGAAAGUCUGAUCGAGCAAUGCCGCGUGAGUGAAGAAGGCCUUCGGGUUGUAAAGCUCUGUCAGCAGGGAAGCGUUACCCGCAGAGGAAGCACCGGCUAACUCCGUGCCAGCAGCCGCGGUAAUAC